GUUUAAGUGGUUCGGUGGUAGAAUUCCCACUUUCCAUGCGUGUGACCUGGGUUCGAUUCCCAGCCAAUGCA
rnacentral:tRNA from 1 species